GAUGAACGCUAGCUACAGGCUUAACACAUGCAAGUCGAGGGGAAACGACAUCGAAAGCUUGCUUUUGAUGGGCGUCGACCGGCGCACGGGUGAGUAACGCGUAUCCAACCUGCCCAUCACUUGGGAAUAACCUUGCGAAAGUAAGACUAAUACCCAAUGAUAUCCCACGAAGGCAUCGGAAUGGGAUUAAAGAUUUAUCGGUGAUGGAUGGGGAUGCGUCUGAUUAGCUUGUUGGCGGGGUAACGGCCCACCAAGGCAGCGAUCAGUAGGGGUUCUGAGAGGAAGGUCCCCCACAUUGGAACUGAGACACGGUCCAAACUCCUACGGGAGGCAGCAGUGAGGAAUAUUGGUCAAUGGGCGAGGGCCUGAACCAGCCAAGUAGCGUGCAGGAAGACGGCCCUAUGGGUUGUAAACUGCUUUUAUAAGGGAAUAAAGUGGGUCACGUGUGACUUUUUGCAUGUACCUUAUGAAUAAGGACCGGCUAAUUCCGUG
rnacentral:rRNA from 1 species